UACAGAGGUCUCAAGCGUUGUUCGGAUUCAUUGGGCGUAAAGGGUGCGUAGGCGGCGCGGUAAGUCGGGUGUGAAAUCUCGGGGCUUAACUCCGAAACUGCAUUCGAUACUGCCGUGCUUGAGGACUGGAGAGGAGACUGGAAUUUACGGUGUAGCGGUGAAAUGCGUAGAUAUCGUAAGGAAGGCCGGUGGCGAAAGCGGUCUGCUGGACCCCAUCUGACGCUGAUGCGCGAAAGCCAGGGGAGCAAACGGG
rnacentral:rRNA from 1 species